CAGAGUUAUCCAACUCCCAAACCCAUGUGAACUUACCUCUCUGUUGCCUCGGCGCAAGCUACCCGGGACCUCGCGCCCCGGGCGGCCCGCCGGCGGACAAACCAAACUCUGUUAUCUUAGUUGAUUAUCUGAGUGUCUUAUUUAAUAAGUCA
rnacentral:misc_RNA from 1 species